rnacentral:lncRNA from 1 species
AAAUUUGUCCCUGUUCUGUUCCCCACUCACUUAACCUUCAUCUCUCCUCCCACACACUCUCAACAAUCCAACUAAACUCACUCACACAUAAACAAUGCCUUUCCCCCUCUUUCUCUUUCUAUUUCUCUUCUUCAUUUUCACCACCGUUUCCACCGCUCUACCCUACGGUAACCAAUCACAUGCUUCUCUUCUCUAAGCCUCUAACUAACUAACUAACUUAGACACUUUCUCUCUCUUAAUCUUAAUCUCAUUAUCAUUAAUCACUUUCUCUUUGUGUCUCGCAGGUAUUUCUUACCAUAUUGACUGUGGUAGUCCAACAAACACCACCGACUCAUUCA